AAAAUAAAAAGUUUAAAAAGCAAACAAAAAACCCCAAAUAGAGUUGUAUCAACAAGCUUUUGCUUGUGAUUUGAUUUUGUGGCCAUAAAUAUCCUGUUCUCUUUCAACACAAUAACCCUAACCCUCUCCCCACUUCUUUCAGAAAGAGUGAGGGAGUAAUUCUAGCCUAUUUUUACAAGAACACAGCGGCUAUAGACAGUGCCGGUAUGAAGAUGAUUCAGCAAAAGUGGAGAACCAAAGAUCCUAGGGCAGCAUCAAAACUGGGAAAGCAAUUACAGCAGAAGUUGCCUUCCCCAUGGUAGCUUAGCAACUUCGUGUCUCUCCAAGGCAGAGAGGAAAAUCAAGUCUAACAGGCCUUCCUAAAGGCUAGGUGUGAAAUACCAGAAGCCAUCUUUGUUUCCAGCGAUGUCACUAAAUAAAUAUUUGUUGAUAUAAAGUAUUACACAUCUGUUCUCCCACAUCUCAGCUAAACUGUCAAAAGUUAACCCUUUCUGGAGAUGCAGAAUGGAGCAAUGCACCCAGCUCUCAUUCAUUUAUUUCCCUUGCUGAUAUUCUUGCAUAGCUUUUAGUUUAUGCAUU
rnacentral:lncRNA from 1 species